AGCCAGCUCUAUUAUCUGCUCUAUGAGUCGGUGUAGAGUUUGGUCAUCUUAUGGGAAACUAGCUCGGACUUCACUGAUGGGCUACUGGAUCAUACACUUUACUUUGAAAAAAUUUGAGUGUUUCAGGCAGGCAGUUGCUUAAAUAAUGAAAUAGGACUUUGAUCUGUUUGUUGGCUUCUCGAGGUCAAAGUA
rnacentral:rRNA from 1 species